AGAGUUUGAUCAUGGCUCAGGACGAACGCUGGCGGCGUGCCUAAUACAUGCAAGUCGAGCGGACAGAUGGGAGCUUGCUCCCUGAUGUUAGCGGCGGACGGGUGAGUAACACGUGGGUAACCUGCCUGUAAGACUGGGAUAACUCCGGGAAACCGGGGCUAAUACCGGAUGCUUGUUUGAACCGCAUGGUUCAAACAUAAAAGGUGGCUUCGGCUACCACUUACAGAUGGACCCGCGGCGCAUUAGCUAGUUGGUGAGGUAAUGGCUCACCAAGGCGACGAUGCGUAGCCGACCUGAGAGGGUGAUCGGCCACACUGGGACUGAGACACGGCCCAGACUCCUACGGGAGGCAGCAGUAGGGAAUCUUCCGCAAUGGACGAAAGUCUGACGGAGCAACGCCGCGUGAGUGAUGAAGGUUUUCGGAUCGUAAAGCUCUGUUGUUAGGGAAGAACAAGUACCGUUCGAAUAGGAACGGU
rnacentral:rRNA from 1 species